UGGGGAAUUUUGCACAAUGGGGGAAACCCUGAUGCAGCGACGCCGCGUGAUUUAGAAGGCCUUCGGGUUGUAAAAAUCUUUUCUAUGGGAAGAAAAUGACAGUACCAUAGGAAUAAGGACCGGCUAAUUACGUGCCAGCAGCCGCGGUAUACGUAAGGUCCGAGCGUUGUCCGGAAUCAUUGGGCGUAAAGGGUACGUAGGCGGGUAAGCAAGUUAGAAGUGAAAUCCUAUAGCUCAACUAUAGUAAGCUUUUAAAACUGCUCAUCUUGAGGUAUGGAAGGGAAAGUGGAAUUCCUAGUGUAGCGGUGAAAUGCGCAGAUAUUAGGAGGAGUACCGGUGGCGAAGGCGACUUUCUGGCCAUAACCUGACGCUGAGGUACGAAAGCGUGGGUAGCAAACAGG
rnacentral:rRNA from 1 species